UACGAAGGGGGCUAGCGUUGUUCGGAAUUACUGGGCGUAAAGCGCGCGCAGGCGGUCUUCCAAGUCAGUGGUGAAAGCCCGGAGCUCAACUCCGGAACUGCCAUUGAAACUGUUAGACUUGAGGAUGAGAGAGGUGAGUGGAAUUCCCAGUGUAGAGGUGAAAUUCGUAGAUAUUGGGAAGAACACCGGUGGCGAAGGCGGCUCACUGGCUCGUUUCUGACGCUCAGGCGCGACAGCGUGGGGAUCAAACAGG
rnacentral:rRNA from 1 species